rnacentral:rRNA from 1 species
UUCGCCCUUAGAGUUUGAUCCUGGCUCAGGACGAACGCUGGCGGCGCGCCUAACACAUGCAAGUCGAACGGAGCUUAGAGAGCUUGCUUUUUAAGCUUAGUGGCGAACGGGUGAGUAACGCGUGAGUAACCUGCCCUAGAGUGGGGGACAACAGUUGGAAACGGCUGCUAAUACCGCAUAAGCCCACGGUACCGCAUGGUACUGAGGGAAAAGGAUUUAUUCGCUUUAGGAUGGACUCGCGUCCAAUUAGCUAGUUGGUGAGGUAACGGCCCACCAAGGCGACGAUUGGUAGCCGGACUGAGAGGUUGAACGGCCACAUUGGGACUGAGACACGGCCCAGACUCCUACGGGAGGCAGCAGUGGGGGAUAUUGCACAAUGGGGGAAACCCUGAUGCAGCGACGCCGCGUGGAGGAAGAAGGUUUUCGGAUUGUAAACUCCUGUCGUUAGGGACGAUAAUGACGGUACCUAACAAGAAAGCACCGGCUAACUACGUGCCAGCAGCCGCGGUAAAACGUAGGGUGCAAGCGUUGUCCGGAAUUACUGGGUGUAAAGGGAGCGCAGGCGGGAAGACAAGUUGGAAGUGAAAACCAUGGGCUCAACCCAUGAAUUGCUUUCAAAACUGUUUUUCUUGAGUAGUGCAGAGGUAGAUGGAAUUCCCGGUGUAGCGGUGGAAUGCGUAGAUAUCGGGAGGAACACCAGUGGCGAAGGCGGUCUACUGGGCACCAACUGACGCUGAGGCUCGAAAGCAUGGGUAGCAAACAGGAUUAGAUACCCUGGUAGUCCAUGCCGUAAACGAUGAUUACUAGGUGUUGGGGGAUUGACCCCCUCAGUGCCGCAGUUAACACAAUAAGUAAUCCACCUGGGGAGUACGACCGCAAGGUUGAAACUCAAAGGAAUUGACGGGGGCCCGCACAAGCAGUGGAGUAUGUGGUUUAAUUCGAAGCAACGCGAAGAACCUUACCAGGUCUUGACAUCGUAUGCAUAGUCUAGAGAUAGAUGAAAUCCCUUCGGGGACAUAUAGACAGGUGGUGCAUGGUUGUCGUCAGCUCGUGUCGUGAGAUGUUGGGUUAAGUCCCGCAACGAGCGCAACCCUUACCAUUAGUUGCUACGCAAGAGCACUCUAAUGGGACUGCCGUUGACAAAACGGAGGAAGGUGGGGAUGACGUCAAAUCAUCAUGCCCCUUAUGACCUGGGCUACACACGUACUACAAUGGCAAUAAAACAGAGGGAAGCAAAACAGCGAUGUGGAGCAAACCCCUAAAAAUGUUCUCAGUUCAGAUUGCAGGCUGCAACUCGCCUGCAUGAAGUCGGAAUUGCUAGUAAUCGCGGAUCAGCAUGCCGCGGUGAA